rnacentral:antisense_RNA from 1 species
GGGAGCUUGGAUGUGGAAGCUCUUUGGAAACCAAGAAACACUCUGCAAAUGAAAAGGGAAGCAGAAGUUCUCCUUAGCUGAUUUUUCUUCUUGCCUUAUACUGGGUUCUUUAACACCAGAACAAAAAUAAAUAAAUAAAAGAAUCUUCCAGAAAUUCAUGAAGAGACUUCAGGUCAGGAAAGCCUGAACUUUCUCAUCUAACACCUGUUCAAGUCGGAGGAUGCUGAUUAAUUCAUGAUGGAAAGGAGACGUCUGUGGAUUCUAUAACUCAAAGACCCAGGCUGAUGGCUGGUGGAAUAGCUACCAUCUCAAACAUGGCGUGAUGCUGCAUCAGAGGGAAAAAUAAGCUCUUGCACUGGCAAUGAAAUGUCUACCCUGUAGUGACUUGUGCUUACUUCCACUCACAAAUGAUUGCCCAGAGCUACUUACCUGGCUCCAAUCUACCACUGGGUGUGUACGUGCAAUCUACUGUGUACCUAGAAGAUGAGAGGAACAAAUUAUUAAUGAUGACCACACCCCAAGACUAACAAUAAUUGCAGAAGAAUCAAUGACUUAAACAAAAAUAUGGCCAUUGAAGGAAUAGAAAAUAUAGUGAGUUUAGUGUAAAUUUAGAAGUGAUUUAUAAGUAGCAUACAAAAUCCAGAAACUAUAAGAAAACAGAUUGACAAAUAUAAACAUAUAAAGCUUUAAAAAAGUUUAAUAUAACAAAAAUGGCAUAAAAAGAGUCAAAAGUUUUUAAAAAAUAUGUUAAUGCAGUAGAUUAGGUGCUAAUUUUCUUAAUAUACUAAUAACUCAAUAAGAGAAAUUUUGUAUCUAGAAGAAAAUGAACAUGGAAAUAGGCAAUUCACAGAUAAUGGCAUUCAUCUGGCCAAUAAAAAAUUGUGUGACAUUCAGAAUAAAAUAAAAAUGAAAUACUGGUUUUCAGCCAUCACUUGAGCAAAACUGCAAAGAUACAAUGAGACUCAGGCAUUCCCAUAUACUGUGGAUGGGAG